rnacentral:rRNA from 1 species
GGGAACGUACCCUUCGGUUCGGAAUAACUCAGGGAAACUUGAGCUAAUACCGGAUACGCCCUUUUGGGGAAAGGUUUACUGCCGAAGGAUCGGCCCGCGUCUGAUUAGCUUGUUGGUGGGGUAACGGCCUACCAAGGCGACGAUCAGUAGCUGGUCUGAGAGGAUGAUCAGCCACACUGGGACUGAGACACGGCCCAGGCUCCUACGGGAGGCAGCAGUGGGGAAUAUUGGACAAUGGGCGCAAGCCUGAUCCAGCCAUGCCGCGUGAGUGAUGAAGGCCUUAGGGUUGUAAAGCUCUUUUGUCCGGGACGAUAAUGACGGUACCGGAAGAAUAAGCCCCGGCUAACUUCGUGCCAGCAGCCGCGGUAAUACGAAGGGGGCUAGCGUUGCUCGGAAUCACUGGGCGUAAAGGGCGCGUAGGCGGCCGAUUAAGUCGGGGGUGAAAGCCUGUGGCUCAACCACAGAAUUGCCUUCGAUACUGGUUGGCUUGAGACCGGAAGAGGACAGCGGAACUGCGAGU